rnacentral:rRNA from 1 species
AGUGAACGCUGGCGGUAGGCCUAACACAUGCAAGUCGAACGGCAGCACAGUAAGAGCUUGCUCUUACGGGUGGCGAGUGGCGGACGGGUGAGGAAUACAUCGGAAUCUACUUUUUCGUGGGGGAUAACGUAGGGAAACUUACGCUAAUACCGCAUACGACCUACGGGUGAAAGCAGGGGAUCUUCGGACCUUGCGCGAUUGAAUGAGCCGAUGUCGGAUUAGCUAGUUGGCGGGGUAAAGGCCCACCAAGGCGACGAUCCGUAGCUGGUCUGAGAGGAUGAUCAGCCACACUGGAACUUAGACACGGUCCAGACUCCUACGGGAGGCAGCAGUGGGGAAUAUUGGACAAUGGGCGCAAGCCUGAUCCAGCCAUACCGCGUGAGUGAAGAAGGCCUUCGGGUUGUAAAGCCCUUUUGUUGGGAAAGAAAAGCAGCAGGUUAAUACCCCGCUGUUCUGACGGUACCCAAAGAAUAAGCACCGGCUAACUUCGUG